UACGGAGGGUGCAAGCGUUGUUCGGAAUUAUUGGGCGUAAAGCGCGUGUAGGCGGUCUUUUAAGUCUGAUGUGAAAGCCCCGGGCUCAACCUGGGAAGUGCAUUGGAAACUGGAAGACUUGAGUACGGGAGAGGGCAGUGGAAUUCCUAGUGUAGGAGUGAAAUCCGUAGAUAUUAGGAGGAACACCGGUGGCGAAGGCGGCUGCCUGGACCGAUACUGACGCUGAGGUGCGAAAGCGUGGGGAGCAAAC
rnacentral:rRNA from 1 species